GGUUGCAGCGAGUGGUUACGAUCCACCGACCUCUGGGUUAUGGGCCCAGCACGCUUCCACUGCGCAAUGGAAC